UCUUUUAAAUUUUUUAGAAGAUUUAAUAAUUUUAGGAAAUGUGAAGAAGUUCUAAUAAGUUACUACAUAGGCUAGGUUCACUUUUUGAUAGUUUUAUCCAAUUUUUGGAGUUUUCUAAAGCUUAUAAAUAGAACUAAUUGAUGUAAAACAAGAUAAAUGAAUAAUUGAUGAUUAAUAAUAUUAAGUUUUUUUACAUAAUUGCAAAUUUCAAUGGUAAGACUUCAUUACUCUUUUUCUAGGUGAAAUUCCUCAAUGGUCUUAGUGAGACUUUAAGGUUUCCUUUCUUCUUUAUCUCCUCCGUUCCUAUCUUUUAUUUUAUUUAUUCCUGUGCCACAAUUUUUUUCCUCGUUCCUUUUCUAAAAUUCUAAAGGAUUGAAACACUAGCCUACCUAUUAGAUUAUAGAUAACCAUCCUCCUGUGGUAUUAUAUUAGUAAAGUGUUGCAGAGACUAAGGCAACAUUAGUUGUAUAUUAAAAAGGAAAAGUGCAAGUUUGCCAAAACUCAGAUCAAGUUUCUAGGCCACCUAGUCUCACAUGGUUAGAUUUAGAUGGAUGGAGGAAAGGUGAAGGAAAUAAGAUAUUGGCAAGAACUUACCAAAGUGAUUGAAUUGCUCUCCUUCUUGGGUUAGCUAAUUACUGUUGCCACUAUGUCCAAGGGUACUUCAAAAUUGUUGUGGCACUUACAGAACUUUUGAAGAAAGAAUAGAAGAAGUGUUAAGAAGAUGAAUACUGAAAGACUUUUGAUGAGUUGAAGGAUGCUAUCUCUUCAGCUAUCUCUUCAGAGUCUAUCUUGAGAUUGCCAAACUUGGAAUUGCUAUUUGAAUUCCAUGCAGGUGCUUUAGAAAAAGCACUAGGUGAAGUUCUAGUGUAGGUAGGGCAUCCUAUUACCUUCUAGACUAAGAAAUUGGAUGAGACUGGGCAGUGGUAUUCAACUCAUGAGAAAGAGAUAACCACAAUGAUACAUUUCCUAGAGCAUUGGAAGCACUAUUUGUUGGGUACCAAGUUUGUGGUGGUGACCAAUGGUGUGACUAACACUUACUUCAAGACUCAAAAGAAGUCGACUGCUAAGCAAGCAAGGUGGUAGGAGUUUCUUGUUAAUUUCAACUUUGUCUAGGAGCAUAGACCGAGAAGGCAAAAUAAAGUAGCUGAUGCUCUAAGUUGGAGGCCUUAUCUCAUGUUGUAAUUAACUUCAUUGCUAGAAUCAAGUAGGAAACACCUUUAGAUGCAACAUAUGUUAAGCUAUUGCAGCAAGUUCAGGAAGGCACUACCAGAUAGUAUUGGUUGGAGGUAGACUUCUUUUAUGCACAAAGACAUCGAUUCUAUGUGUAAACAAUUAUGGAAUUGUAUUUCGUUGUAUUGAUAAAGGAGUUUGCAGUGAAUAUAUAAAAUUUAUAGGGAAAACAAGAAAAGGAAUAAUCUGACUGCCUAGAAAAAAACUGAAUAUGGAAACCGCUAGUCAACUAUAUAAACAAGGUAGGAACCCCUAAUUUACAGCCUUAAUUUACAACUUAUACAAGCUGUAUUGACUAUGUAUCGCUUGCACAGUCAAAUGUAGCCUAUACAAAUUAUCAGGAUUUUCAAUACUCCUUAGGCUGGUGAGUAAAUGUUCUUUAAUCCCAACUUGCUUGUAUAGCUUAAAAUGAAUGAGUUGCAAGUCCUUUGGCCAAAAUUUCAGCUAAUUGAUUUUUUGUGCAUGUGGAGGGAGUGCACAUUAGUUGCCUAUCCAACUUUUCAUCAAUGAAAUGACAAUCUACUUCCAUAUGCUUGAUCCGAUCAUAUUGAGUUGGAUUGUGAACUAUGUUUAUUGCAAACUUAUUAUGAGAGUAGAGUCUCAUUAAUGCUUCCCACUUGAUCGUAAGAUUUGUAAAUAUAAUUUUUAUUUGGAGAAGUUUCCAUACCCCAUAUGCCAUUGCUCUAAACAUCAUUUGAUAUUGCCACCACUAAUUGUUUCUUACUUCUCUAGGUAACAAAAUUUCCUCCAAAAAAAAGUAUGGUAUCUGAAAGUUGAUCGUCGAUCCAUCAUUGAUCUUGUCCAUCCAACUUUUGUAUAGGUUUCAAGAAUCAUUUUGCCUAUCUUCCGAAACAAAAUAGCUUUGCCUAUUGUUGACUUAAAUUAUCUAAGUAAUGAAUUUAGCGAAUGAGAUAUGAUGGUUCAAAUUAUUAACUAGUUUGAAAUUCAAAUAUCGAAUCGAUUAAUAUUCUCUACCCAUAAAAGAAAAAGUAUUUUGAAAACUGCUUCCAUAUGGAUGUCCUUGGGGCUAUGAAUGAAUUGACUUACCACACUGAAGUAAAAAGCUAUAUUGGGGUUGAGUAUGAGAAAAGGAAAUAAAUUUCCUCACAAGGCCUUUAGACCUUUCCUAAACUACUAGUGCAUGAUGUUUUCCUUCAUCAAGCUUGUGACUUAGCUUAAUUGGAGUCUUUAUUGAUCUACUUCCUAGUAUUCUAGUUUCUUAAACAAGAUUUUUUUUCCCUUUUUAUUUGAUAAGAAAAUUAAAUCAUAUAGGGACUUGAACCUAAAACCUCCCACAAACUCUCCUCAUCCCUAAAGGAGAUUUACUACACACUUUUGUUGUGAGAUUACUAUUCUCUCUUUAAAAUGUGCAACUUGUCUCUUUAGAAUAUGCAACUUUGAUCUUGAUAAAGUAUUUAAUCCCUUUAAGGUCUUUAAUCUCAAAUUCCUUUGCAAGUUACUUCUUCAAUUUUCCAAACUAGGCGGUAUUUCCAUGUUGACUUCCUCCUCUAAGUCUUCGUGUAGAAAAACAUUCUUCACAUUAACUUGCUAUAAGAGCCAUUUAGGUUAGUAGCCAAGGGACCAAAUACGAAUGAUGUUUAUUUUUGCUAUCAUGACAAAAGUUUCUUGAUUUUUUUUUUUUUUGAUCAAUAAGUAUAUGAUUGUAUUGUAAAGAGGCGCUAAAGAAGCGACCCACCGAAUUACAGUAUAAAGGGACUUACCCCCUUACAAAAGGGCCCAAACAUCAAAGGACAAGGCAAAACAAAAAAACCUCUCCCUUAACGCAUACACACCCACUCUAUAAAUUCUAUUAAGGUCAAAGGACCAUCUUUUAUCCACAAUUUGGUUUCCGACUACAAUAAAUACACAAAAGAUACUUUCAGCCUUUGAAUGGACAACCCACAAUCCUCAAAUGCAAUUGAAUUUCUAGCCUUCCAAAUAACCCAAAACAAGCAUAACGGUCCCAAUUGCCACGCCACCUUCCUUUUCUUUCCCACAAAAGAGCCCCUCCAUCCUAAAAAUGUUUCCUUGACCGAAUGGGGAAAAACCCACGAAACACCAAAAAAGGAAAGGAACACCAUCCAUACUUCCCUUGUUUUUUCACAAUGGAUAAGAAGGUGGUCAAUUGUCUCCUCACUCUUAUGGCAAAGAAAACAUCUAUUUGCCAUAACCCAACCUCUUUUUUGCAAGCGAUCCAAGGUUAGAACUCUCCCCCAAGAAGCCUCCCACGCAAAAAAGCUCAAUUUGGGCUGCACACGAGAGUUUCUUGAUAGUCUAUCCCAUAAGUCUAUGUGUAUCUUGUAGUUGCUAAUCUCAUUUUAUACAUCUCUACUAUCUCAUUUGCUAUCAUGCUAGACUUGUUUUUCCCUAGUAGGAGGAUCAACAAUUUCCCAAGUAUUAUUUUUCUUCAAUGCACUCAUCUCUUCCACCAUAGCCUCCCUCCAAUUUUUAUCCUUAAGCAAUGUUUUAAAAACUGGACUAGAUUGGUUGGUUCGACUAGUCAAACCAUCGAUUGGACCUCGAUCCGAUUCAAUCCACCUAAUUGGGCUGGAAUAGAGUUGAACCGGCAUCAAAACAGUUAGCUUGAUAGUCCAACUGCAAAAUCGGUGAGCUGACUUGGUUGAUUCAACUCAACCUUUUUGUUUUUUUUUUUUCAAAAGCCCACUUUUGAAUGCCUUUGUUCACAAGUCCAAUGUCCAACUAACUUUUUAACUUUUUUCUUAAAGCCCAACGAAUUAGUAGGCCCAAAGUGAUGCCCUUUCACAACUCUUUGAAUUUAGUUGACUGAUGCACUCCUAAAUGGCUUUUUAUAGAGUAGUUUGGGACCUUUGGGUCACUCAUUUUUUGAUGUGCAAUUCAAAGGGGCCUUUUUUUUAAAGGGCUAAAGGCCAUUUAAAAGGUAUGGAAGGAUGAGGAUUUAACCUAGGUCUUUUGUGGGAAAAGACUAAGGGUGCAACAUUGUGAAGUGUGAUGUCUCAAGUCUUUGUAUAUAAAAGCAUUUAAAAUAUAUAUAAUAUAAUCCCAUAACUUAAAAAUAAAUAUAAAGAUUUAUGAUUUAUCUAAUUUGAUAAGAUAAUAAAAUCAAAAAUAUAAAUAAAACAACUAAAAAUUUUGGAAGUAAUAAAUAUAUAGCUACUAAAAUCUAAACAACUUUAAAAGUAAAUCCAUAUUCUCUCAUUAGACAUGCCUCCUUUCUAACACCUUGAGAAGAGAGUGAUGGGAAAGUCUUGGGUAGCGAUUGAGUUGAAGAUGUUUGAAGUGUCGAUAGAGGAAGUCAAAGGGAAACUAAAAGGUAUCAUUAUGGAAAGGAGUAGAUGUUUUUCCUCUUGAAUCAGGUUUGGGGUAUUAAGUUUGAGAAAACUACUGGAAGGUUUUAAAGAAUGUGAUAGGGAGGAGAAGAAAGGAAGAUUGGUUAAAGUUUGGGAGGAAGAGGGAAGAAAGUUCCGAUUGGAGAGACGUGUAAACGGGGCGGGUAGAUAUGUCUUAUGCUCUGUUGUUGAUGUAGAUGCUAAAAGAUUCUGUUUAGUCUUUCCUGAAGGAAAGGGCAUGAUAGGAGGAUGGGUCAUUCUCGUUGAGAAACUAAGGGCAUUUGGGAUAGUUACUCAAAAGAAAGCCAAGAGUGAAGAAGCAAUCCGAAUCAAAUCAAAGAAGAAGGGGGCGACCUUAGAUGGCGACGAGGAAAAAUGCCUUGGAAAUAAGGUGAAGGGUAAGAAAAAGAGUUUUCUGGAUGUUGCUAAAAAACCGGCUGGAAGGAUAGGAGAAGAGUUGUGGCUUCAGGUUGGAGGGAGAGGAGUGAGGAGUAGGGAGGAAGGGUUGGGGCGAUGCCUAGUUGGAAGGUGGGGAGACGGGGCAGUGUUGGAGACGGAGUUAACUUCGUUUAGAAAAUGGGAGGAAUGUAGUUGGAAUCUUAAAAAAAGUGUGAAAGUGAUGAAGUUGGGAGAACCUUUCUUUCUGCUGGAGUUUGAAGAUGAAGAGGAGGCAGAGAGAGUGUUAAAUAGGGGGACGCGCCGUUUUGAGGAUAAAAUGCUGCAUUUAGAAAGAUGGAGUGAGGAGGCCGGGUGCAUGCAGGGAGGAAGCCAAGCAAAAGAAGUCUGGGUGAGGGUAGUGGGGCUCCCGCUUCACUGUUGGAGUGGAGAGUUAUUUAAAAGAAUUGGUGACUGCUAUGGAGGUUUUGUGGAGGUGGAUGAAGAAACAAAGAAUCAUUCUCAACUUCAAUGGGCCAGGAUUUUGGUAAAGAACGGGGGGAACUUUUUUCCAGGAACUUUGAAUUUAGUGGUGAAGUCUUUCUGUUAUGCAGUUCAGUUGUGGUGGGAGGUGCUGCCUCGGAUUUCUGCAGUGGUGCCGAUGAAGAACUUGAAAUGGAAUGAGAGGGAAAGGGUUAGGGAAGAAUGGGAUGAGGGCUCAUGCACGGGGAGUAGUGGUAGGAGGGGAAAGGAAAGUUGGCGUGCAGCUGAAACUGAUGGAGCAGGUGCAGUCAGAAGAAUGAGGGGCAAAGAACAGAGUGAUGGUGACAGGAUGGAAACUUCAAUAGAUGGAUUUGCAGGCUAUGGUAAGGAGGCUGGAGGGGUGGGCUUAAGUGGAUAGGAUAGGUUGGCUAGGCAUGACAGCUGCAAGCCUGGUUGUGAAGUGGUCCAACCCAAAAGGAGUUUAGGCCUGGAACGUGAAGGCCCUGCAAUAUAUUCUAGUUAUAGAAUGGAUUGGGUUGUAAAACAAAAGGAGAUGAAAGGGCCCAGGGUGUGUUGGGAGAGGGGGUAGUCUAGCAGAGGUGAGGAGCGGGCCGCUUGUGAUGGUCUUUCAAGUUUUCAAAGGGACGAUUUGGGCUACGUGGACAAUAGGGAUGGGGAGCGGGCUUCAAGUGUUGACCCAUCUUUCUCUCAAAGGGAUGGGCUGGGCCGUGUGGACAAUAGGCCCAAGUCGACAGGGAUAGAAGGGCAACCCAGUCUUGUAGCGAGCUGGGCUUUGAUGCCACUUAAAACCUUUUUGGACGAUUCGGUGGAGCGGGUUUCAAGUGAUGGCCCAUCAUCCUUUCAAAGGGAUGGGUUAGGCCGUUUGGACAACAAGCCCAAGUCGGCAGGGAGAGAGGGGUAGCCUAGCCUUACAACAAAUUGGGCUCCGCUUCCUCUUAAGACACCCUUGGACGAGCCCGUUAUAAAGGCUAGGGCUUCGAUUCGUCAUUUGCAAGUUGAGGGGUGGUUCGCUGAAGAGAAAUUGGUCGGAGGGAUGGGGUCUACAGCGGUGAGAGGGACGCUAGAAAGUUGUUCCAUAGCGGAUGCGUGCCUUUUGGAGGAAGUUUCCAGGUUGCAUGUGUUUUAAUGUUCCAUCUUCAGCGAGAUGAUUUUCCUGUGGACACACAU